CAAUAGCGUAUAUUAAAGUUGUUGCAGUUAAAAAGCUCGUAGUUGGAUUUCUGGUUGAAGCGACCGGUCGGGCGUUGAUUCGUCUGCACUGGAGUCGGUUUUGGCCAUCCUCUAGGAAAGUGCGUCUGGUAUUAAGUUAUCGGGCGUAUGAUCCUGGUCUUUUACUGUGAAAAAAUUAGAGUGUUUAAAGCAGGCCUUCGCCUUGAAUACAUUAGCAUGGAAUAAUAAGAUAUGACUUUGGUGGUCUAUUUUGUUGGUUUGCACACCAGAGUAAUGAUUAAUAGGGACAGUUGGGGGUAUUCAUAUUUCAACGUCAGAGGUGAAAUUCUUAGAUCGUUGAAAGAUGACCUUAGGCGAAAGCAUUUACCAUGGAUGUUUUCAUUAA
rnacentral:rRNA from 1 species